CCGUGAGUCCACAUCGACGGGGAGGUUAGGGACCUCGAUGUCGCCUCAUCACAUCCUGGGGCUGUAGUAGGUCCAAAGGGUUGGGCUGGUCGCCCAUUAAAGUGGUACGCGAGCUGGGUUCAGAACGGCGUGAGACAGUUCGGUCCCUAUCCGUCGCAGGCGUAGGAAAUUGGAGAAGACCUGUCCUUAGUACGAGAGGACCGGGAUGGACGUACCUCUGGUGUACCAGUUGU
rnacentral:rRNA from 1 species